rnacentral:tRNA from 1 species
GAGGCUACAGCCCAGUGGUAGAGCGCAUGCUUAGCAUGCAUGAAGUCCUGGGUUCAAUCCCCAGUGCCUUCU